rnacentral:tRNA from 1 species
GAGAAAGUCACAGUGGUUGUGCGGUUGACUUGAAAUCAGCUAUAGAGGGUUCGAUUCCUUCCUUUCUUA